rnacentral:rRNA from 1 species
UACGUAGGGUGCGAGCGUUAAUCGGAAUUACUGGGCGUAAAGCGUGCGCAGGCGGUUUUGUAAGCCAGAUGUGAAAUCCCCGGGCUCAACCUGGGAAUGGCAUUUGGGACUGCAAGGCUGGAGUUUGGCAGAGGAGACUGGAAUUCCCGGUGUAGCAGUGAAAUGCGUAGAUAUCGGGAGGAAUACCGAUGGCGAAGGCAGGUCUCUGGGCCUGUCCUGACGCUGAGGCGCGAAAGCUAGGGGAGCGAACAGG